AAAAAAGUUUUUUCAAUUUGCAGUCUCAAACUGCUUUUAAAAAUAAAAGAGAUGUAUAAAGAAAGAUUUCUUGUAAGCAUAUUUCAUUUUUUGAAAUAUGCUCUCUAAUAAACUCAAUGUUUUAGAUUUAAAAGUAUACAAACUGUUUUUAUUGACUAACAGAUAGCUGCAGUAACCCGCCCGUUUGUCAGAACACUGGGUUCGUGAAGCAGACGGGAGGGUCGUGUAGCUGUGAGUGUCCGGAGGGCCUGACGGGGGCGGACUGCUCACAGGUAGAAACAAGUCCAGGGUGUGGCGGUGUGAUCGACAUGGAUGUCCAUGUAGCUCACAAUAUUGUGCUGUCUCCAUACAACACGGGAAUGAUGUGUACAUGGUUAUUCAAGGGAGCGGAGAAAACUCGGAUGGAUGUGGUUAUACACUCUAUGGACCUCCCUGUCAGCACACAGAACGCCUGCUACCACGCCCUGGAGAUCAGAGACUACCUGCCGGGGUCCCCGGGAAAACUUGUUUGUGGUCAAACUGACUUUGCGUACUUCGUAAGAAAAAGAGUCGGCCCUCAGAACAUGUUGAUCAUCCGAUUUGACAGCGCCACCUAUAGUGACGUCACACCAGGAAGUGGCUUUAACAUGACAGUGAGAACCUUAGCGUCUGCCUGCACAAGUUCCCCCUGUAAGUACCCGGCCACGUGCCAUGACGGAUACAACACAACACAAUACUCCUGUGAGUGUGAGAACGGAUAUUCCGGCACGCACUGUGAUGAAGUGGAAGCGGGCGCAACUGUUUGGGAUAGCUUUGAAGAUGACCUAACAACGCUCAUGCGCAAUAAUCCAACAGGAAGUGAUAUGAUAUGGAGCGUUGGGAAGGAAAUGACUACCGCGUCUGAAGGAUACGUAAUGGCAGAGCUUAUAUCACCUUAUGUACGCAGCGUUCCAGCGUCUGGGUCCAUUGCAAAGAUGGAAACCUCUGUGAGAUUCAAGAGUGGUGAUCGGUGCCUCAGAUUCCAACUGUUUCUGUCCUACCCCACGGGCACUGACAGAACGACCCUGAAGGUCAUCAUCAAGGACGGCAGCACCGUCAAAAGUACUCACUCAUUCACUGAUGCCACAGGCUAUAAAUGGAGGGAAGUCAGCAUUGAUCUACCGGCGGUCGACGAUUUGAAAGUGGAAUUUGAAGGUGUUUACGGGAACGAAAAGUUGGCAAUAGACAGGGUGAGGAUUCAGCCCCAGCUUUGUUCCGUCCUUGACCCCUGUGAGAGCACACAGUGCGUGAACGGGGACUGUACCACACUCCUCACCUCCAGCGACCCCGUCUGUGUCUGUCCCGAGUACUACUCCGGCGAUCUCUGUGAAACGCAUGUGUGUGACAACAAUGACUGUCAAAAUGGCGGAGUGUGUGUACCUGAGACCACUGAGAAAUACCACUGUGACUGCCCUGAGCAGUACUCAGGCCUGUUAUGUAAAAUACACGUCUGUGCUAACCACACGUGUGUGAAUGGUGACUGUUUUGCAACUUCGUCAAAGACCUGGGAAUGCCGAUGUAAUGAUGGCUGGAAAGGACAAAACUGUGAUGUUGUGGAUAUAGUGUACACGUGCAGCUUUGAGCUGGAAGAUGACCCCGAUUGUUUCUUGGUAGAGGACAUAAACGAUGACUUUGAUUUCACCAGAAAUUAUGGAAGCACCCCUGAUCGACGCACGGGCCCCUCUUACGCAUGGUUGGGCUCAUACUACAAAUACACAGAGGCGAGCGGGAGGUCUCCAGGCGAUGUGGCGUCACUUAUCAGCAAUGUGGCGUUUCCAAGUGGCCCCUACUGUCUCUACUUCUAUCUCCACACCUAUGGGAGUGACAUCGGCUCGAUCUACGUGAUACUGAAAACCAACAAUGGAGCGGAGGAGGUGAAGUUUUCCUCCUCUGGUCCUAGAGACGACUUUUGGUGGAGGACCUACAACAUUGACCUUAGUUUGGAUUCCACCACCCAGAUCGUCAUCAAAACAGUACGGGGAGGAAGUGGACGCCGGGACAAAGGCCUCGGGGACAUAGCAAUAGACAACAUCAACUUAACACCGGGCGGCUGUUAAAUCCAGAAUCUGUCACCUCUGUAUCAAUAAAGAAGUGU
rnacentral:misc_RNA from 1 species